rnacentral:sRNA from 1 species
GAAAUUCUGGUAGAAUGUAUUUUGGUGAGGAAAGGCCGGACGGUGGCUAGCUGCUUUCGUAAAGAAGGGAGUGAUGCCUAUGAGCCUUUGUUGUAGUCGUUGCUCUGAAAGGAGCAAGCAUGAGUGUCUAUCAGACGCUUUCCUUGAUGAUCGCCUUCGCGGUCCUAAUCGUGGAAAUCAUGAAAAACGA